UGUACAGGCUUGAAAAGGAAGAUAUUUUAACAAAGAACUCAAAGAUCUAGGACGGUAGACAUUUAUUCAACAACACUUAAUGUCUGCAUAACACUCGGCACUCUAUAACUCCAGGGAUAAAGAAUUCAGUGCAAAGCAAGUGAAGCCCUCAAAGAGUUCACAGCCCAGCAGGAACGAGUUUAGAAAGAACAACAGAAAAUAAGAAGAGCCAUAUGGAAUAUGCAAGUGGGUGAAAAAGUACCAACAUAAUAAUACUAUAUGUUUCUUCCUUUUUAAGAGAAGAAUUGGAGUUCUACAUUUUCAUUACUGGGUAAAGGCUAGAUAUGAUGGGUGCGAUGAAUUUAUAUGCACAGAUGCCUGUUUCUGGCAUUACCAAGCUUGAUAGUAUCACAUGUUCACUGUACACUGUCAUUUAUUCCCACAUGUAUCUAAUCGCUCAGCCUCCUUAACUGGAUUGGAAGCAUUGGAGGUCAGGAGGAUGCACCUUAUACAUCUUUUAUCUCCAGGGUUUAGAAUCAUGCCUUACACAUUGCAGGUGCUCAAUAAAUGUUUGAUGAUGAUGGCAGCUUGCUUUGCAAUUAAAAAAAUGGAGUUUCCUAAGACAAGUAUAUUCUAUUUUUUCAAUCAGUGUAAGGAAAAGUAUCUUCUCCUAAAGGAAUUGGACAGUGAACAUUGUGGUUUACUAUGUGUAAUCAGGUACAAGCUCAAUUGCUGUAACGAAGACUCUCAAAAUGCCUUGACUUAAGAUAAGACAUUAUUUUGCUCUCUUGUUACACUUUUAGAAGUUUGUGGUCCUGAUCUGUUAUCAUCUGGGGACUCAGGCUGGUAGGGCCGCUCUGCCAUCAUCUUGAGCAUGGGGCUUUCAUCUCCGGGUCUGAGAGUGAUCCAUGUUAUUGGGUUUAUCAGUAGUCUGUUCUUUUUUAUUGCUGAGUAAUAUUCCUUUGUAUGAAUGUGUCUAUACAAAGGAAUAUUACACAAAUCUAAAAAUAGAGAGACGCUCUAAAACUGUGAGUUUAUUUAUUUAUUUUUUCCUUUUCGCCUGCCUGGUUGAAAUAUGUAGGACUACUUUAGCUUUUUAUUGUAUUUCAUUUAAUAAACUUUUAUUGAGUGACCCUAUGGGCCAAAUACUGUGCUGAGGGAUGGGGAUACAAAGGCGUGUAAAUCCUUGUCUCUUCCCUCAAGUUACAGUUCAGCUAGAGGAGAAAAAGACAGUUGUGU
rnacentral:lncRNA from 1 species